rnacentral:rRNA from 1 species
GACGAAUGCUGGCGGCGUGCUUAACACAUGCAAGUCGAACGGUAAGGCUCCAGCUUGCUGGGGUACACGAGUGGCGAACGGGUGAGUAACACGUGGGUGACCUGCCCUGCACUUCGGGAUAAGCCUGGGAAACUGGGUCUAAUACCGGAUAGGACCGCACCGUGAGGGUGUGGUGGAAAGUUUUUUCGGUGUGGGAUGGGCCCGCGGCCUAUCAGCUUGUUGGUGGGGUAAUGGCCUACCAAGGCGGCGACGGGUAGCCGGCCUGAGAGGGUGGACGGCCACAUUGGGACUGAGACACGGCCCAGACUCCUACGGGAGGCAGCAGUGGGGAAUAUUGCACAAUGGGCGGAAGCCUGAUGCAGCGACGCCGCGUGGGGGAUGACGGCCUUCGGGUUGUAAACUCCUUUCACCAUCGACGAAGGGUUUCUGACGGUAGAUGGAGAAGAAGCACCGGCUAACUACGUGCCAGCAGCCGCGGUAAUACGUAGGGUGCGAGCGUUGUCCGGAAUUACUGGGCGUAAAGAGCUCGUAGGUGGUUUGUCGCGUCGUCUGUGAAAUUCCGGGGCUUAACUCCGGGCGUGCAGGCGAUACGGGCAUAACUUGAGUACUGUAGGGGAGACUGGAAUUCCUGGUGUAGCGGUGAAAUGCGCAGAUAUCAGGAGGAACACCGGUGGCGAAGGCGGGUCUCUGGGCAGUAACUGACGCUGAGGAGCGAAAGCAUGGGGAGCGAACAGGAUUAGAUACCCUGGUAGUCCAUGCCGUAAACGGUGGGCGCUAGGUGUGGGUUUCCUUCCACGGGAUCCGUGCCGUAGCUAACGCAUUAAGCGCCCCGCCUGGGGAGUACGGCCGCAAGGCUAAAACUCAAAGGAAUUGACGGGGGCCCGCACAAGCGGCGGAGCAUGUGGAUUAAUUCGAUGCAACGCGAAGAACCUUACCUGGGCUUGACAUAUACAGGAUCGCGCCAGAGAUGGUGUUUCCCUUGUGGCUUGUAUACAGGUGGUGCAUGGUUGUCGUCAGCUCGUGUCGUGAGAUGUUGGGUUAAGUCCCGCAACGAGCGCAACCCUUGUCUUAUGUUGCCAGCACGUUGUGGUGGGGACUCGUAAGAAACUGCCGGGGUUAACUCGGAGGAAGGUGGGGAUGACGUCAAAUCAUCAUGCCCCUUAUGUCCAGGGCUUCACACAUGCUACAAUGGUCGGUACAGUGGGUUGCCAGUCCGUGAGGGCGAGCUAAUCCCGCAAAGCCGGUCUCAGUUCGGAUCGGGGUCUGCAACUCGACCCCGUGAAGUCGGAGUCGCUAGUAAUCGCAGAUCAGCAACGCUGCGGUGAAUACGUUCCCGGGCCU